UUUGAUGGCGACCGGCGCACGGGUGAGUAACACGUAUCCAACCUGCCGAUGACUCGGGGAUAGCCUUUCGAAGGAAAGAUUAAUACCCGAUGGCAUAGUUCUUCCGCAUGGUAGAACUAUUAAAGAAUUUCGGUCAUCGAUGGGGAUGCGUUCCAUUAGGUUGUUGGCGGGGUAACGGCCCACCAAGACUACGAUGGAUAGGGGUUCUGAGAGGAAGGUCCCCCACAUUGGAACUGAGACACGGUCCAA
rnacentral:rRNA from 1 species